rnacentral:rRNA from 1 species
GUGUCAGCCGCCGCGGUAAGACGAACCGAGCGAACGUUGUUCGGAAUCACUGGGCUUAAAGGGCGCGUAGGCGGGCAUUCAAGUCUAUGGUGAAAUCCGGCAGCUCAACUGUCGAAUUGCCGUGGAUACUGGGUGUCUCGAGGGAGGUAGGGGCAUGCGGAACUAUUGGUGGAGCGGUGAAAUGCGUUGAUAUCAAUAGGAACUCCGGUGGCGAAGGCGGCAUGCUGGACCUCUUCUGACGCUGAGGCGCGAAAGCCAGGGGAGCAAACGGGAUUAGAUACCCCAGUAGUCC